UUAUCGGAAUGAGAACAAUUCAAAUCCUUUAACGAGGAUCUAGCGGAGGGCAAGUCUGGUGCCAGCAGCCGCGGUAAUUCCAGCUCCGCAGGUGUAUAUCUAUGCUGCUGCGGUUAAAAAGCUCGUAGUUGGAUCUGCGUGCUCGGAACUGGUUGGCUCACUGAGUUCAAACUGGUCUCCGGCGCUUUAUUGGCUGGUUUUCCCUUGAUGCUCUUAACCGGGUGUCUUGGGUGGCUAGCACGUUUACUUUGAAAAAAUUAGAGUGCUCAAUACAGGCGUAAAGCCUUGAAUAGUGGUGCAUGGAAUAAUAGAAUAGGACCUCGGCUCUAUUUUGUUGGUUUUCGGAACGCGAGGUAAUGAUUAAGAGGGACAGACGGGGGCAUUCGUAUUGCGACGUUAGAGGUGAAAUUCUUGGAUCGUCGCAAGACGGACGACUGCGAAAGCAUUUGCCAAGAAUGUUUUCAUUAAUCAAGAACGAAAGUUAGAGGUUCGAAGGCGAUCAGAUACCGCCCUAGUUCUAACCGUAAACGAUGCCAACUAGCGAUUCGCAGGCGUUAAACAACGACCUUGCGGGCAGCUUCCCGGAAACGAAAGUGUUCGGGUUCCGGGGGAAGUAUGGUUGCAAAGCUGAAACUUAAAGGAAUUGACGGAAGGGCACCACCAGGAGUGGAGCCUGCGGCUUAAUUUGACCCAACACGGGAAAACUCACCCGGCCCGGACACCGUAAGGAUUGACAGAUUGAGAGCUCUUUCUUGAUUCGGUGGGUGGUGGUGCAUGGCCGUUCUUAGUUGGUGGAGCGAUUUGUCUGGUUUAUUCCGAUAACGAACGAGACUCUGGCCUACUAAAUAGUGGGCGGAUUCUUUCUGUCCGCAACACUUCUUAGAGGGACAAGCGGUGUUCAGCCGCACGAGAUUGAGCAAUAACAGGUCUGUGAUGCCCUUAGAUGUCCGGGGCUGCACGCGCGCUACACUGAAGGAAUCAGCGUGCUUUUCUGACCUUGCCCGAAAGGGCUGGGUAACCCGAUGAAAAUCCUUCGUGAUUGGGAUAGGGACUUGCAAUUAUUUCCCUUGAACGAGGAAUUCCCAGUAAGUGUGGGUCAUAAGCUCGCGUUGAUUACGUCCCUGCCCUUUGUACACACCGCCCGUCGCUGCCCGGAACUGAGCCGUUUCGAGAAGAACAGGGACCGUCGUUGAAGGGCCUUAACGGGCUUUUCUCUGAUAGAAACUGUU
rnacentral:rRNA from 1 species